AGGCUAGACAAGGAGGGCUCUGCAAACAUAUGGCGUGGCCUGGGGCUGCCAGACAGUAGCGUCGCUGCAGGACACGGAGUAGACUGGCAGCGAGGCAGCAGGGUCAGCAGGAGCCCAUAAAGGUUCUGAUGACGUGUUCCUCAGGCCCAAUCUGUAGAGCAGGAGGAAUCUAACUGGUGUCCAAGAAGAUGUGCUUGACCUAUGGUGCCAGCCUUCAGUUUCUCAGAAGACAUAUGGGACCCAGAUAAAUCAGACAUUGAAUGCGCUGACGAAAGUCGCUGAGGACCCAAAAGAAAAGGCUUUUUUGGUUUGGAUUUCAUCUGUAUUUCACCACUUGAAAAUUCACUAUUGGCAUCAGGCAUGUAUAGACUCCCAUCAAGGCGUACUGACCUCGAAAAAUGAGCUAAAAUGAAAGCUGUGUUUAUAACGUUGAAA